ensembl:lncRNA
CACGUUUUCCUGUUUUCAAAGUGAGCUUAAUCUUGUUCUGGAGGAAAUGAUUCUUUUUACUGAAGCCCUCCUAAAUCUCUCACAGCAAGAAGGAUGUGAUCUGUUAAUCAGGGAGCCCUCAUUACAUGCAGCUGUGGAAUACCCAUUUUUUCCUUUAUCUAAUCCACUGGAGAAUUCAGGUAGCUUGACGUAAUCAAGGUCAGAGGUGUUAAAAACAAAUAGAUUGGCUUAUUGAACUUGAUUAAUCAUUUUCUUGUAGCCAGCUUUACCUUCUCUUUGCUGAAAUAAGAUUAGCACAGAUUAAAGCUGUUUAUUUUGGAGGGGGAGAAGAUGGCAGUCUGGCCCAAUUCCAGAAGAGGGUGAAUGUUAGGUGAGAACUGGAUGAGGAAGCUCAAAUCACGAAUAGUUUUCUGAAUAAUAAGCCAAGGGAAUCUGAUACAUUCACUUCACAAACUGGGCAAGCUCCAGUUCCUAAGACACUGACGUUCUUGUCAGAUACAAAGAAACCACUUAGAUAUUGCUACUUGAGCAUCACAUAGUUGGUUUUCCUUUGACAAAAAUUAAGAAAAAGCCACCAGGAAAACUUCAACAAUAAAACUAUAAUAAUAGUAAUAUUGAGAUGCUAUUUUAUCCCAUGUUCUUCUGAAGAUUAAUUUUUGUACAGUGUAGCUUUUAGCACUAUGGAUCUACAUCCAGUGAGAAAACAAUGAAGUCCAAUGGGAAAACAAUGAAUUUGUAAAUUAUAAGCUGGCAACUAAUACAAUGUUUGGGAAAAACGUUGAUACGGCUCCAGGUGAAAUCCAUGGGCAUGUUAUAGUUGACUUAAAAAGGCUGGAACUUUGCCAAUUUCCCGCCUCUUCCCCAAAACUCUAAAUGGUUUGUACAGUCUACUGUCCUGGGCUAAGAAAGAAGGUCUUACAACUACAUGGUGGCAUGGUUACACAGAAAGCCCAGCAGUAGUCCUAUUAUUGUCUUAUCUCCAUAGAGUUAUUUUUGUUAUUGUUUGUAGCUUGUUUAAAUGGGCUUGCUGCCAAUGAGAAAGAGGAAAACUCUGCCUGUGACAAUUCUAGUACAUCUGCUGUAUUGAUAAAUAUUUUGUUAUUAAUAAUAAAUACCAGCUUUAUAUAAAUAGUUUACUUUCAUAGGCUAUGGUAGAACAGCUAUCUGGUCUGUAAUUUUAUGAUUUAUCUUACAGGAGUUUUGUGCUUAUAGCAUAUUGAUUUCAGCAGGGAGUUCUGCUUAAAACCUGGUGGCACAAUAUAGGUAACUGUAUUCCUCGGAAGGCAGGUGUAGGCAUUUAUAUGCCCACUGCCAGUCUUUCAGCUUCAGAGAAGCUUUGGAGGAGGAAAUUGAUGGGCUUUCCAGGUGUGUUCUCACAUGAAAGGUGAACUUGCUGAGUACAGUUACUAAUCCACUGUGUUGAGAUGUUGGAAAGUUACCUUGUCCUCACCUAUAAAAUUUCUUUCAUCCCUCCAGAGUCCUUGGGGCUUCAAAACUAGGUACAGGAUCAUAACUUAAAUGGAUGCUAUGAAAUUGUGGUGGCUCAUCAAAGCUUUACCUAAGAAGGCUCAUAGCUGUAACACUGUACAAGUACAAAGGUUGCCAUCUGGUGUAUUGCAAACAGUUUCAGAGAGUAAGAGGCCAUCUGUUAAUACUUUUUCAGGAAGCUUUUUAUAGAGCAGUGAAGUGGCAAAUCUCAAAAACACGUUGUAAUGACUUACAAGAUCUUGGGUAUGCAUACAAGUAAAGGCUGACAUUUUAUUCUUAUUAACAAUAUAGUUGUCAAACUGGGAAGAAAAGGAAGAGAAGAAAGAGAACUCGCAUGCAAAUGCACAUGCAUUUUAAAGGCUCUAUUUCAUGUA